rnacentral:rRNA from 1 species
UGGGGAAUUUUCCGCAAUGGGCGCAAGCCUGACGGAGCAAUACCGCGUGAGGGAGGAAGGCUCUUGGGUUGUAAACCUCUUUUCUCAGGGAAUAAGUUCUGAAGGUACCUGAGGAAUCAGCAUCGGCUAACUCCGUGCCAGCAGCCGCGGUAAUCCGGAGGAUGCAAGCGUUAUCCGGCAUGAUUGGGCGUAAAGCGUCCGCAGGUGGCUGUGUAAGUCUGCUGUUAAAGAGCAAAGCUCCACUUUGUA